rnacentral:rRNA from 1 species
CAAGCGUUGUUCGGAAUUACUGGGCGUAAAGCGCGCGUAGGUGGUUUGGUAAGCGAUCUGUGAAAGCCCCGGGCUUAACCUGGGAAUUGCAGGUCGAACUGCCAGGCUAGAGUAUGGUAGAGGGGUGUGGAAUUUCCUGUGUAGCGGUGAAAUGCGUAGAUAUAGGAAGGAACAUCAGUGGCGAAGGCGACACCCUGGACCGAUACUGACACUGAGGCGCGAAAGCGUGGGUAGC